rnacentral:rRNA from 1 species
CCUACGGGAGGCAGCAGUGAGGAAUAUUGGUCAAUGGGCGCGAGCCUGAACCAGCCAAGUAGCGUGAAGGAUGACUGCCCUACGGGUUGUAAACUUCUUUUAUAAAGGAAUAAAGUGAGGCACGUGUGCCUUUUUGUAUGUACUUUAUGAAUAAGGAUCGGCUAACUCCGUGCCAGCAGCCGCGGUAAUACGGAGGAUCCGAGCGUUAUCCGGAUUUAUUGGGUUUAAAGGGAGCGUAGAUGGGUUGUUAAGUCAGUUGUGAAAGUUUGCGGCUCAACCGUAAAAUUGCAAUUGAUACUGGCAGCCUUGAGUUGGCGAGAGGUACGCGGAAGGCGCGGUGUAGCGGUGAAAGGCAGAGAUAUCGCGCAGAACUCCGAUGGCGAAGGCAGCGUAUCGGCGCCAGACUGACGCUGAGGCACGAAAGCGUGGGGAUCGAACAGGAUUAGAUACCCUUGUAGUC